rnacentral:misc_RNA from 1 species
CGCACAUUGCGCCCUCUGGUAUUCCGGAGGGCAUGCCUGUUCGAGCGUCAUUUCAACCCUCAAGCCUGGCUUGGUGAUGGGGCACUGCUUUCCCCAGAAAGCAGGCCCUGAAAUACAGUGGCGAGCUCGCCAGGACUCCGAGCGCAGUAGUUAAACCCUCGCUUUGGAAGGCCUGGCGGUGCCCUGCCGUUAAACCCCAACUCUUGAAAAUUUGACCUCGGAUCAGGUAGGAAUACCCGCUGAACUUAA